UGAGGAAUAUUGGUCAAUGGGCGAGAGCCUGAACCAGCCAAGUCGCGUGAAGGAAGAAGGAUCUAUGGUUCGUAAACUUCUUUUUUAGGGGAAUAAAGUGCGGUACGUGUACCGUUUUGUAUGUACCCUACGAAUAAGGAUCGGCUAACUCCGUGCCAGCAGCCGCGGUAAUACGGAGGAUCCGAGCGUUAUCCGGAUUUAUUGGGUUUAAAGGGUGCGUAGGCGGAAGAAUAAGUCAGUGGUGAAAGUUUGCAGCUCAACUGUAAAAUUGCCGUUGAAACUGUUUUUCUUGAGUGUAAAUGAGGUAGGCGGAAUGUGUUGUGUAGCGGUGAAAUGCUUAGAUAUGACACAGAACACCGAUUGCGAAGGCAGCUUACUAAGAUACAACUGACGCUGAGGCACGAAAGCGUGGGGAUCGAACA
rnacentral:rRNA from 2 species